UACGAAGGGGGCUAGCGUUACUCGGAAUUACUGGGCGUAAAGGGCGCGUAGGCGGCGCUCCAAGUUAGGCGUGAAAGUCCUGGGCUCAACCUGGGAACUGCGCUUAAGACUGGAGUGCUUGAGGAUGGAAGAGGGUCGUGGAAUUCCCAUGUAGAGGUGAAAUUCGUAGAUAUUGGGAAGAACACCGGUGGCGAAGGCGGCGACCUGGUCCCAUUACU
rnacentral:rRNA from 1 species